AUUUUGCAUAUGCCGCGGAUUCCCUAUUUCUUGUAUUCCACCAGCUCUGAGGUAUUUCCAUCAGUAAGGUUCCUUUACUUUCUGAUAUUUCUGAGAACAAGGAGUUCGAUGAUGUCUUAAACUUCAUUUGUAUGAUGGGUACCAUAUCCACAAAGCUAGAUACCUUAAAUUUAAAUCCAGCUGCAGUAUAUUUGCUUUAGAUCUACAUUUAUUAUUAUCAUCACUUCAAAAAUUAUCCUCUAAUAAAAAAGCACUGAAGACAUCUCGUAUUAUAUAACGGUUUUUAAAUACAUCGUUUUGUUUUUGUUUUUAUCUCUCCUCUGUAUUCUCUCGUAUAGUCUGUAUUGUAUGUUCUGCGUUCUGUAUUAUUUGUUUCUUUUGUAUUUAAUUAUAUAUCUGCUGGAGAAAAAAAAAACUCGCUGCUGUAUUCAUAUUGUAUUGUCGUGAAGCUUCAGAAUCACCUCGGGUCUGCCAGCCAUCGUUAGUGCAGGAGGCUACGCCUGGCUGAGCUGUGCGCUCCGGCGACAACAAAAGAGCAAUCAUGACUAGUGGGGGGAAAUCAGCGUGAGCUUGCCCGUCAGAAGAAUGCUAAGAAGAACAAUGAACAUGCCAAAGGGAAGAGAAAUGAGGAUGGCCUCUCAGCAGCUGCCCGAAAGCAAAGUAGUAGUAUUAUUGUAUUUCAGAGAUGCUGAAAUCAUGCAGCAGAAGCAAAAAAAGGCAAAA